rnacentral:tRNA from 2 species
GCGGCCUUGGCGUAAUGGCAGCCGCGCGGGUUUUAGGUGCCCGUGAGGGAAACCUCGUGAGGGUUCGAGUCCCUCAGGCCGCA